rnacentral:lncRNA from 1 species
GAACUCCAUUGUCACUGCAGGCUGUUUGAUCUUUAAAUAAUUUACUUAAUGAUCUCACCAUGGGAGCAAUUGGCAGAGCAAGAUUAGGUUGUAAGGGCCUAAUGGACAUGGGAAAACUUAAAAUUACUAGAAGAGAGUCUUCUCUGUCCUAUUCCAGACCUGACAUUAAAACCAAAAAGAGGUGUGGGCUCACUGACUUGCAGCGGACCAAACAAAAGAGAGGUUUAAGGCGAGCCUUUACCAGUAUUUAAUAAAAUUGAGAUCCUCCAGCAACAAUACUGAAAGCCUGUUAUUAAAAAAAAUCCUCAAUACUCAAGAUGCCAA